UCAUAGAUAUGAAUGAGUAGAUAGGACACGCCCCUUUGAGCUGCGUGCUACAGCGAGGCUAAGCUAGUGGGGGCAAAGUUUCAGUGCAUUCCGUUGAUGUAGACGGCGUAAAAACGGAAACAAGAAGUAUGCCGGCUCACUGUGCUGCAUACAGUUACACACUACGUCGUACGAUUGAGACAAGGAAACUUGGAAUGACUUUUCAUAGGUUUCCCAGAGACUAUGGGUUGAGGAGGAAGUGGAAGUUUGUCGGCUUAGACCUGGUGUCAUUCCAUCAGUGUUAAACUUCCCGGCUCAUCUUUGAAGAGUACGUGCCAGAAAGACCACAACCAAGCAGCCUUGAGAUCUUAGGCAGCGUCUCCCUCAGCUUUUUAUUGGAUAGGCAUAGUGAGAGACAGACAGGAAACGGGGGAGAAGAGUCGGGGGAAGACAUGCAGCGAAGGGCCACGAGCGGGAAUCGAACCCGGGCUGCUGCGUCGGGGACCAGUCCCUGUACAUGGGUCACCCACUUAACCCGUUGAGCUAUACAGGCACUCGUGUUUUGUCUUUUAAAGGUUUAAUAAUCUCAUUAAAUGUUUUGCAUUUUUAAAAAAUGUUUAAUAUUCUUCUUGUUUAAUUGUAUUUUUUAAAUGUUUA